AGUGAUGGUGUCUUAUUGAAAAUUCCUGCCUACCUGAGGCCUUCCAAGGCAUGCCGAGUCCUGCUGGUGCUCCAGGCUGGGCAUCGAGGCUUAGAGAAGUCCAUUCCCUUCCCUGAGAGCCAUCAAAGGAGUUAUGGAUUGCACUGUAGCUUGUAGAGAGGCAAUCUGCUGUACGUGGGAGAGGCAUGACAGAGGAAAAGCACAGCACCAGCUGCAUAUAAGAAACUCCUGGAAAGAAGAACAAAGCCAACUGUUCUCCAUGUCCACGAAGGCAUGCACAAGAACUAAUGGGUGUAUCCUGCAUCAAGAAAUAUUCAGGUUAGGAACAGCUUCUGAUGGAGAGGAGAACAAAGCAGGCAAACAGACUGCCAGGGGCCUGAGGAUUCUGCAUCACAGGGGAUCUUCAAGGAAAGAUAAACAGAAGAAAAGGCACCUGUAGGUUCCCCUAUCAUAGAACUGGAAGAUGGGCCAUCAACCUCUUGAGAUUCAUGCCAGCCUUACUCAUUUUCUAAACCCAGCUUUGUUCAUACCCUGAAACUCAUCUGUCUUCUUCAAAGCCCCACCAUAGUCUCCUUUAGCAUUUAUGUGCUAUCAACAUAUCACUUGCCAGGGUGAUUCUAGAAAAGUGACUGCGCUUGAGUCUUGGAUGGAUGCUUGCUUCCUACUGUGGUUCACCUAACCUCCAGGAGACUCAAUGCCUGCUUUGUGUUGUAAAUGGUGUCCCAUCUUGAGAUGCAUUGCCUGUGUUCCUGCCUUGGAUAGCAGUGUUGAUCUGUGGAAAUAUUCUUCCAUCUUUCUUGGAACCUCAUUCUUAUGCGUCUGCAGGCUUGUUCACAGGAGACUAGCUGAGGAGCAUGCUCACUGCUGUUUUCCCAGGUAAAUUCAGCCUUGCUUGUCUUCCUCACUAGUGGUGUUCCUUCAGCUCUCUUCUCAGGGAACAGGGUUCUCUUUGUACUGAUGCUGUGGGUUGGAGGAAUGCACAGAGUCUGUCCUCUUCCUUCUCUCUGGAAGGACAAACAGAGCUGCCUGACUUCUUGUCCAGGAGCCUUAGCACUCACCUACUUAUACUGGGAUGAUGACUUGGUGCUCCUUCCUGUGUUCUAAAACAUGCUGCUGCCUGGGUUGGUCCAAGGUAGAAGUAUGUUUCAUAGGGUGAGCAGGAGCCUGAGUGCAGUGGGCUUGAUACCUGGUUCCAGGGCCUUAACUGAACUAGGCAAGGAUCAGGCGAUUGUGUUGCUCAACAAAACUGCACAGCUGACAGUCUGAGCUGCUCUUUAGCAAUACAUCUAGCAGUCUGCAGCACUUUAGCUGGAGCUGGUAGGUGUCUUGUUCCUUGCAUUGCUCUCACGAACUUGCACGUGGAAAGAAAGCUGGAUCUUCCCCUUUUUACUGCCUCCUUAUCUGGCCAAAGGUUACCCAGUAGUCAGAACACAUGCCUUAACAUAUGCUGAAGAGAGCAAGCAGAGCCUGGAGGAUGUUGAUGGAUGACAAAAGCUCUGAUACAUACAUCUGUAUGACAUGUGGUGCUGUGCCUCAGGCUUUGGCCUGAGCAUUGCCGUUCCACCCUUGGUAAUAAACAUAUGAGUAGAUAAGGCAGAGAUGGGAGUAUAGAUUUGCUAUCUGAACUUUUGGAUUUAAUUUCCAUUCUUAGCUGUGUGCAAUUUCCUAUAUGUGCUGUUUUGCAAAUGAGUUGCACAAUAGCUAUAAAAGACCACCUAGAAACAAGGUCGGCUUGAUGCCACUUAGUUCUGCUGCGCAGUGGUGGGUCCAGGCAAUGUGGAGGUGUGGUUCAGACCCAUGGAAAGGUCUCAUCUAUGCUCCCUGAUGGCUGUGUGAAUCUACUGCUCUUUGCCUGCCUAGCGUUUGAGUGCAGUUAUGGUGCUGGAGAAGUGGAAUUGCCUGGCUAUCAACAGUUGACCUACCUAGUCUCAGUUACCAGAAGCGAUGCAUUUUUCUUAGAUGGUGCUCACUCACAGAGCCUUACACCUGUCUGUGGGGCAGCAGCCACUUGGAUUGUAGGUCCUCAGUGGGAGGGAGGAAUCGGCGCACACGUACCAUACACCAGGACACAAAGCAGCUCCCACAGACACCUUGGUGCUGCCAGUAGCUUUUACAGGGCUAGAAACACAGUCACAACAGCCAGUGGGAUCUGCAAGUAACAUGGCAAGGUGAAAUGUGUAAUGUGUGCGGACAUUGAGGAGGAACCCCACCAGGCACCUGGGCCUGAAAGCUGGCUCCACAACACAGAUGUUAGAGGGAAUAAAGGGAAUGGCAGAGGAUCAACUAAAAUGUUGUGCAAGGGUGGUUUUUCUCCAUGUAGUUUCUGAAGGAACGGUCUUUGGGGCUGUGGAGAAAUGGGCAGCCUCCAGGCUGUGAGGUUAAUGCAGAGCCACGGCUGUUUGUGUAGUUGCAGAGCCUUUAAGAGAGACUUGGGAAAACUAGCUUGGAUUCCAAUGAAUAUUUACAAUUACACUGCUCCAAAGCUGAAUCCAAUCACAUCACUACAGUAUGCAGUCUUUGUGUAUUAAAAGAAAAUGUGAGGAAAGCAGAAAAGAUGAGCUGCAGAGCUGCCUUUGGAGAGACCUCCCUGCUUGUGACAGAACUAAAAUGCUUUAUUUCUGAUAGAAGCAAUUCAUUCUUUGGGCAUUUUGCUUGAUAUUAAAGUUCCUGGCUGUUUUUUGAAGUGACAGUUUUCAGUAGAUGGUCUUCAAAUCAGAGUGAAAGAAAUAGGAAGUGUUGUAGUCUAUAAUGCUGAUAUUGCACUAACAAACUGGAAAUAAGGGAGCACUUCCAAGCUAGAGCAGAGAUGCUUCCCCCACUUUCCACUUGCUGAGUCUGAGAUUACCAUGUUCAAGAGGCCUGGACAGAGCUACCCUUGUUAAAAUCAUGCUCCUAAUAUGAUAUUUGAAUGGUCACCAGGCUUUGCCAUUAAACAGGAUGAUCUAAUAAACAGGAUGAUCCAACAGAGGAAGAAACAAAAAAUGCUGGAUAAAUGUUCAUUGAAGCUCGUUAUUGGCCUUUUCCUUUUUUUCAGCAGAAGAUAGAAAAAUGUGUCAGGGAAUCACUGCGUGCAAAGAAGAUGGAGGAUUUGUGAGUGUAAGACCCGUGCAGAGAACUGUAUGCAGCAGAGUAGGAAGUGUGUGGCAAAGCAGAGCUUCUGCUCGAGGUGACAAAAGGAACAGCACCAAAAGCUCAUCUCACUGUACUCCCAGCUGAUUAGCUCUUCUGCGUGGUGCCAGGGAAAUCAGCUUGGGCUCUUGUAUGCCUUGUGUUGGCAGCUGGGUAAGCUUAAGAAAGAGCUGUACUAAUGGAAGGGAUACUCAUCUGGAUGCCUUAAGACCUAUGGUGCAGCCAUCCACUCAUACACUGGGAGGUUUUCCACAACUCUGACACAACGCAAGCAGUUGUGGAAGAAGGCAAGUAGGAGAUGGGACAAAAGCACAGAUCAGGAUGAGGAUGGAAAUGAUUCUUUUUAUUCAGACACUGCAUGGCAUGUUGCCAAAAUGUGGCUGCAGCACCAAACUGCUGCUCUAACACAGGCUGUGAAUAACUCACGGCUUGUUGCGGUCUUGGAGUACAAAAACACCACUACUUUUCUUUAAUCACAAAUAUUUAAGGUACAUCCUUCCAGUCUGUCAUGCAGAUGUUCUGAAGCACCACGGCAGCAUCAGAGCAGGUGCUUUGUGAGAAGGCAUGUAUGAUUGAAGCUGCAAGAAUGUGCACUUAUAUUUACACAGGGCGCACUUACAAGCACACCUGACCUGCAACAGUGACAUCUGAAGGCCUAGCCUGCUCCAUCCCCAUGGUCCCAGCAGGUGGCAUGUCUCCACACCUGAGCAGAAGACAGUGUGGUGCUGUUUCCAGACUGCUAAUCCCAUCGUGUGGUUUGAAGAUGAUGUGUUUCCUAUUGCCUUUCACCUUGUGACUGCACAGAUCCCUUCUGCUGGAUGGCAAUCUUAAAGGAUGCUGAUGGGAAAUCCCAGGAAGCUGCUCUCUGAUCUAAGUCAUGCUGCUGGUAGAGGGAAGUCUCUGACACAUGCAGGCAUGGCACAGGGUGUUCCCUGCUGCCUGGCACAUACUGCAGUCGAUAGUCCUCAGCAGGAACUUGCAUUCAAUAUUAUACUGUCUAAGAGGCUUAAAAUUGACUGUGAAGCUUCAGUACAACUACAAAAAAAAUCUUGUUUUCAGUUUCUCCUAUGGUGGAUUGCUCCAGAAUGAGACAGAGCAAUUUGGUAAUUGAUUCAUGGAAUAUGGGUAUCUGCACUGCAGUAUUUGGAAUCAGAUUAUGUAAUAUGAAAAGCAGUCAUUCAUUUGAACUUCCCUUGUGGGAAUGGUAGCUGCCCAGACAAGUUCCCCAUGAAGAUGGGAAGUGUGACAGAAAUCAGACAGAGCCCACUUCUGUGUGCUGCAGAAACAGCAGAGCGGUUUUGCACCCACCAGGAAUGCCUGCAUUGUAUCU